rnacentral:rRNA from 1 species
GAUGAACGCUGGCGGCGUGCCUAAUACAUGCAAGUCGAGCGAACAGACGAGGAGCUUGUUGCUCUGACGUUAGCGGCGCACGGGUGAGUAACACGUGGAUAACCUACUUAUAUUACUGGGAUAACUUCGGGAAACCGGCGCUAAUACCGGAUAAUCUACUGAACCGCAUGGUUCAAUAGUGAAAGACGGUUUUGCUGUCACUUAUAGAUGGAUCCGCGCGGCAUUAGCUGGUUGGUAAGGUAAAGGCUUAUCAAGGGGAGCAUGCGUAAACGACGGGUGAGGGUGGUAGGCCACACUGGAGGUGGGACGCGGUCCAGACUCCUAAGGGAGGCCGCAGAAGCGAAUCGGCCGCAAUGGGCGGAAGCAUGGCGGAACAACGCCGAGUCAGUGAUGACAACCUUCGGAGCGGGAUACUCGGUUAUGAGGGAAAAACAAAUGUGUACUGAAAUAUGCACGUAUUGACGGUAACUGAUCAGGAAGCCACGGCUAACUACGUG